GAUGAACGCUGGCGGCGUGCCUAAUACAUGCAAGUCGAGCGAACGGACGAGAAGCUUGCUUCUCUGAUGUUAGCGGCGGACGGGUGAGUAACACGUGGAUAACCUACCUAUAAGACUGGGAUAACUUCGGGAAACCGGAGCUAAUACCGGAUGAUAUUUUGAACCGCAUGGUUCAAAAGUGAAAGACGGUCUUGCUGUCACUUAUAGAUGGAUCCGCGCUGCAUUAGCUAGUUGGUAAGGUAACGGCUUACCAAGGCAACGAUGCAUAGCCGACCUGAGAGGGUGAUCGGCCACACUGGAACUGGGACACGGUCCAGACUCCUACGGGGGGCAGCAGUAGGGAAUCUUCCGCAAUGGGCGAAAGCCUGACGGAGCAACGCCGCGUGAGUGAUGAAGGUCUUCGGAUCGUAAAACUCUGUUAUUAGGGAAGAACAUAUGUGUAAGUAACUGUGCACAUCUUGACGGUACCUAAUCAGAAAGCCACGGCUAACUACGUG
rnacentral:rRNA from 1 species